CAGACUGGAUGCAGACGGGUUACAGACUGGAUGCAGGACAGGGAGUGCAGCUCCACCAGCAGCAGACGCCUCGAGCUGGUUAUCUAACACCCUGGAGAGGAGCUUGGUCUCUACAGCACCCUCUUGCCUCCCAGAUGCAUAGCUUUUUUCUUUAAAAAAAAAAAAAAAAAAGCAAAGAUAGUGCUGCUUAUAAAACAUAUAUGAUGCCUGUUCCACUUUGUACUGAUGUAAUAUGCAGCAUUAUGUAAAUUAUGGAAUACUCGGCUCUGAUACGGGGACAGAAAACUGUGUUUAAUGGAAAAUCCUGACACACUCUCACUCCUCCUCAGCCGGCUGUUCUCACUGCACCUUUGCUUUUACAUUAUUCACAGAGUAAUCCCUGCUGUACUGAGCUGCUGUUGUGAUUUUUUUUUUUUUUUUUUUUAGGCAGGUCUGUUUCAUUAAUGUAUUUUUAAAAGGUCUUAUUUCAGUUAUGCCACAGGUCGUUAGUGAGAGCUGGGCAGCAUUGUUGCAGAGAUGAACAAUGUGUGCAAAAUGUGCAUCAGCUCACAGAGUGGAGCAUGUGGGCUGUAACAAAUAUCACAUAAUUAUAUACAGCAGAUUAAUUAUCCUGCAGAUUGGAGCUGGUGAUGUGUACACAAACAGUCCAGAAAGGAUCCAGCUCAAUGUCAGAAUAACUAAAAUGUCAGUAAUUCAGCUUUACUCGCACAUUUUUGAUUCCUAAAGCCAUGUGGAGCUCGUCAAUAAAGUCAGAGUCAUCGGUUUACAACAAUAGAAUUCAGAGUGUGAUUGUCUCUAAUUAAAGGGCUCACAGCGCUGGAGCGUAACCAUGGUUGCUGGUGCUGAAGGACAUAAAAACUGAGAACAGGCAGCAGAGCUAUGCAAAAGUCUCAUGCACUUAUCUGCAGUCGCUCACUCCAGGUUUAUCCAGCGUGACACGACAACCCGAAACAUGCAGCCGGUCAUAAAAAUGUAAAGCGUAUGACCCCACAGAGACCUGCUCACAGCACCUGUGAGAGGACGCCGAUCGCUCUACGCAGUGCUCCGAAGGCGCCCCGAAGGCGCUCGGGUGACGCUGCACUGAUGCCUGAGGCUUCAUUCAGAGGCGGUUCACUGUGUCCUGGGCCGCCUUGAAGGACCGCCUACUCAUUGUGUUCUUUGGACCAGCCAAUCACGCAGUUUAUUCUGAGAAAGGCGGCUCUCUCCACACUGUCAGUAUUUCUAAAAGCAUGUAGCGACGUGUGUGAUUCGGGAUCCAGUCUGCAUUACUUUGGUUUCUUCUUCCAAUCGCUGUGUUUCUUGGUCAGUCAACAGCUCCAGCGGAGCUACUGCCAGAUGUCUGGGCUGGAAUCAUGUUCUCAACCAGUUCAAGAACUGGGACCAGUUUCGUCAGGAUGUUUGGUAUUUACUUGUUUUCGGUACAGUUCCACUCAUGUAAAGGUUGCGUGAUCUUCCACGUGUGUUUAGGUUUAAGCAGCACAGCUACUCAGUUGGUAGAGGCAGCAGGAUUUCUUGGUCGGGUUAACCUGUAAAACUACUUGGCUGUGUUCAUGCAUCGAGACUUCUCUGUUAGUUUAGGUAAGAGGUGGGGAACUCCGGGCCUCGAGGGCCAUGCCCUGCAGGUUUUAGAUCUCACCCUGGGUCAACACACCUGAAUCAAAUGUUUAGUUCAUCACCAGGCCUCUGGAGAACUGUUGAGGAGGUCUUUUAACCAAGGACACUGGCCCUCGAGACCUGGAGUUCCCCCACCCCUGGUUUAGGUGAUGAAACAGAUUUACGUCUCAGGCACGCAGCCAUGCAGAUUGCUGGGCGACCUGCAGUCACCAGGGAAAAACAUGGAUUCAACCCAACCGGUUGGUGAACGGUUCCCCUAGGUUUCUGUCAUUGGUUGAAUUCAGUGGCGAAGAACAUGCUACACCAAAAAGCUUGAGAUUUCUUUGGUGCCCUUCAAUAUAAGUGCCUUUUGAAGCAUGUUUGUGGCACUGGUAAGGUCAACUUUUAUUUUGAAGGCAAACAUUCUCAGUUUCCAAGUUUCCAAGGCAGAAGAAGACUUUCUUUGGUCUGGUCUGUCCCUGGUCUGCAGGCCUGGGUGACGAGGAUGCUUUGGCGCACUAUAGGAAUCGUGGAUUGGUUCAAAGUGCCCCAUUUCCUCCUUUCUCAUAGCUGCUUCCUGUUUGUGCGGGUGACUCGUCUCCCCACAGAGGCACAAACCAUACUUCCAUGUGGAAUAACUCGGAUGUGAAGUCUUGCUGACUGCAGAGAGUAAAUGGACUGUUCCCAGAGACAAAGAAAUAACUUUUUUAAAAAAUAACUUCCCACUUUGGACAACCAGUAACUGCUGUUUGUAAGUUAAAAACAUCUUUAAAGAGGAAAGAUGAAAACAAGUUGUUAGUUUGUGAGGAUCUGACUGUGGGCCCACCGGGUGGCUUUAAGCCUUUGAAUAAUAUUAGGCUAGCUAACAGCCAUGUAGUACUCGCCACUGGGCAUGUAGCUGUGCCUCUCUGUGAGGGAGAGAGGCCUGUCACUGGAGAUGUUCUUACUCUGCAUCGACUCUGAGUUCCCUUUUGGACCCACAGUCCACAGUGAGACACACACAGACGCACACUGAGCUGUGUAAUAGCUGUCAGGCCUGCAGCCAUACCAUGCUCUGCAGGGUGCAUACUGAACAGCAGUGCCGUGUUGCAGUGAAGCAUGGAUCCUGUACAUCUCCCCUGUGGUGUGUAUGUGAGCAUGUGCAGAACGAGCAGAUAUGGAGAGCGAAGCAAAAGAAGCCGAAAUGAUUGAUGGCGGUGCCAUUUGCUUCUUUAAACGCCGGCUCUCUGCUGGUGCAAAGACGACGAGCGGACAUCGUCAAACCUCCUCGCCCGGAUCGGCCCGAACACUG